GGGGAGUCGUGACUCGUGACAGAGAGCUUAGAGAGAGAAGGCGAGACAGGAAGGAGAGAGAGAGAGAGAGAGAGAGGAUGGAGGUUAUGGAGGAGCAAGCUAGCGCCUUUGAGUAGUGGUUACUAACUUACUACUCCGUCAGAAUUUUUUUUUCCGUUUCUGGUGUAAACUUUCCGGCGAGAAUUCCGGUUUUCCCGGCGGUCUCACCGUUUGCUGCUUUCUCCCGUAACUUUCCGCUUCGGGGCGAAACUAUUUCGGAUGGCCCGACUGGAAAUAGUCGUUUGAGCCCCAAAAGUCCCAAUUUUGCUGCACCAUCCAUAGUCCCUUUUGAUUUUAUCAAUGUCAAGAUAUUUUUAAUCUUGUGAGAUUUUUGUUUUGUUUUUUAAUCAAACAAUUUGUCUGCUUUUUUUGGACUUUUGGAGGAUUGAAUAGUCCCAAAAUGUAUGAAAAGUUUUGAUUUUUUAAGAGGAUUUUUCGGGGCUGGAAUCAAGUUAAUGAGAAAGUUAGGUGAGGGAAUGAUUUGAUGAUCCAACUAGUUGAAGGGAUGGGUUGAUGAUUGAAGUAGUCUUCUGUUUUAAUGAUACUUUUGUUGGUAGUACUUUGAUGUAUCUUUGCCCAUUAUUUGCCCACCGAUGAAUUGUUUAAUUUUUUUGUUUUAUUCGUGCAAGCCAGUUUAAGUUCCUCCUAUUUUGGAGCUUGAAUUUCAAUAAAUUUCCGUUGAAUUCUAUUCAUAUGUAUUGAUAAUCCGAAGACGAGAAGAAAUGGCUGUUUCCUUGUCUCGUUUCUCAUGGUGGUUGUGGGGUGGGAAGGAGAAGGGAGAGUCCUUAGCAGCUAAAGGGUCUUCGGUAAAUUCUUUGCAAGAUUGGGGGCCAGGGUUCAGGGAGCAAGCAGAGACUGUGAAAUUCUGGUCUGUGAGCCCUUCAACUAGGAAGGUGAAGAGGAAAUGGAAUAGUAGGGAAGAGAGGAGGAGGAGGGGGAUUGAUAAGGAGUACGAUGUGGUUUUGGUGCCAUCUGAUGAUGUUUGUUUAUCAGGUUCUGAAUCCGAUGAUUCUGACUGGUCAAUUGGGUGGCUGGAACCACACGCCCCUGAUUUCCAGAGUGAUGAUGAGGCAGACAAUAGUUUUGCUGUGCUGGUUCCUUGCUAUAGGGAUGACUGUAAGGCUUUAGUUGUCGAAGAGCCGAGCAAUCAGUUCUUGAGUGCCAUUAAGAGCCUCUCCAAUGAGUACUCUCCUGAGUUAUCCUUGCGAGCUUUCCAUUGUUUGUAUUGAACCGAUGAGGCCUCAGCCAACUAUGUUGAGGAGGAGGUCCCGUGACUAAGAGAUCAAAGAAGGCAAGAAAUACAUGGAGCAGUGGCUUUCCUCACUCCAGAAAUUUUGAGGUCGUUGCUUCAUCCUCCUCUGUACUUGAUUAGAAUCAUUCACGGUCUUCUGCAUCAGCAUCUAGUAAUUGCGGAAGAACCAGCAUUUCUCCUGCACGAGAUGAGAUCAAGUCCAUUUUUUUUCUAUUUCGUUUAGAGAGCACGCAUGUCGACUUGCAGCUGAAGUUAUUCAGUACGCUUGCAUCGUUUCAGGUUUGCCGUAGAAAGUAAGACCAUCCUUCUGACAUUUUAGUGUAAAUAUUGCACCUGUGAAUAUGUGGAAAGUAUCUUGACUGCUGCUGUAGUGGUGUUGUAAUAUAAGCUUUCCUUCUCCCAAUCCCUGACUACUCUAGUGAACCACCACCAUUGUCAAUACCUUUUAUAUUAUUGAUAAAUGAUAGACUAUUGUCACUGCUACUCUCUA